AUAUGUAAAGACCUAGAGUCCCAAGAGAGCACAGCCUGUUCAGGACCUGCUGCAAGAACAGCAUGCCUGAAGAAUAAGAGGUGGGCCGAGGUGGAUGGUGAGAUAUGGGAAGAAUUAUACGAGAUGAUGCUGGUGAGGUAGGAAGGCCUCACGGGCCAUGUUACAGUGUGGACUUUACCUCCACAACCAUGGAGAAUGAUGGAAGAGAUUCAAGCAGGGUUUGUAUGAUUAGAUUUGUUUCAGAAAGAUCACUCUGGGUAAAGUGUGAAUGGAUUGGGGGUGAAGUGGAGCAGGCACCAGACCAGAAGCAGAAAGUCGCUUAGGAGUCUCUUGAAGUGGCCCAAGCAGGAGAUGAUGGGGCCUAGGUCAGGGAAUGGUCGUGGAGUGAGAUUUCACAUGAGUGAAGAAGAGAGGGUAAAUUCCCCGUGUCUGGCAGACCCUGGGACUUUUAUUCAAGCUUGGAAAAAUCCUGUCUACCCCUCAAUACCAGAUAAGAAUCCCAAAUGGCUGUUGUUUUUGGAAUACCACUUAUAAUGUGAAUUACUUUCUCGUUUGUUUCAGAGACUAACCUAUGAAAAAGCAAGGGCUAUGGAUCAAGUCUUCUUUGAAGUGCCCUGUGCACUUCAUGGUUCUGGAGAGAAUUAGAAAACUUCCAGGAGUUUCCAAGAAUGCUGAUAUCCAGUUCACCACUUUACCCACUGGUGAGGAGAAGAAAGUCAAAGGAAACCAUAUGUCUAGACCUUGGUCUCCACUGGUGACCUCUGUCCACCUUGACCCUUUCUCUAUCAGAAGGCCUGCGGCUAGUGACUGAGGCGGGGGUGCACCACGUCUUCAACCAAGGGCAGCACAGAAGAAGUAGACUCCCUCUCAGCUGGAGGGUCUGAUGAUGCUUCUCUCCUCAUCAAAGCUGGAGGCAGGAGGCAGCUUCCUGUCCAUGACUCUCACCGCCUUGUCUUGGUCAUGGAAAGUUUUUAUUUGCUCCCCAAAUAGACCAGGGUUCUAUGAAUAGGCACACCCAGUUAUGAAUGGAGAGAAGCUUUAAAUCAGGAUAUUCUAACACCUUUAUUACGGUCGGUAGGGACCACAAAUAUGGAGAUUAAAGUGUCCAUCAUGUCACUAGAAUCCCUUGGGUAUAGGAUCUUACGGCAUGGCCUUAUCUUUCUUUUAUCAAAACAUACACACACAAAAGACAUUUACCUGCCACAUGCACCCCCAGGAUUUGAAAAUGGAGCACAAUAAAAAUAAGCUGAC
rnacentral:lncRNA from 1 species